GCGGGUGUAGUCUAAUUGGCAGAGACCACAGGUUUAAGCACUGUCUAGUUAGGUUCGAUUCCUAUCACCCGUA
rnacentral:tRNA from 1 species